UACGAAGGGAGCUAGCGUUGUUCGGAAUUACUGGGCGUAAAGGGCGCGUAGGCGGACAUCUAAGUCAGGGGUGAAAUCCCAGGGCUCAACCCUGGAAUUGCCUUUGAUACUGGACGUCUCGAGUUCGGGAGAGGUGAGUGGAAUUCCGAGUGUAGAGGUGAAAUUCGUAGAUAUUCGGAGGAACACCAGAAGCGAAGGCGGCUCACUGGCCCGAUACUGACGCUGAGGCGCGAAAGCGUGGGGAGCAAACAGGG
rnacentral:rRNA from 1 species